GGCCGGUUAGCUCAGUCAGUUAGAGCGUGAUGCUGAUAACAUCAAGGCCGCACGUUCAAAACCCGUUCGGUCC
rnacentral:tRNA from 1 species